rnacentral:rRNA from 1 species
UUCAGCAGGGCCCCCGUAAUUCCAGCUCCAAUAGCGUAUAUUAAAGUUGUUGUGGUUAAAAAGCUCGUAGUUGAACCUUGGGCCUGGCUGGCCGGUCCGCCUCACCGCGUGUACUGGUCCGGCCGGGCCUUUCCCUCUGUGGAACCCCAUGCCCUUCACUGGGUGUGGCGGGGAAACAGGACUUUUACUGUGAAAAAAUUAGAGUGCUCCAGGCAGGCCUAUGCUCGAAUACAUUAGCAUGGAAUAAUAGAAUAGGACGUGUGGUUCUAUUUUGUUGGUUUCUAGGACCGCCGUAAUGAUUAAUAGGGACAGUCGGGGGCAUCAGUAUUCAAUUGUCAGAGGUGAAAUUCUUGGAUUUAUUGAAGACUAACUACUGCGAAAGCAUUUGCCAAGGAUGUUUUCAUUAAUCAGGAACGAAAGUUAGGGGAUCGAAGACGAUCAGAUACCGUCGUAGUCUUAACCAUAAACUAUGCCGACUAGGGAUCGGACGGUGUUAUUUUUUGACCCGUUCGGCACCUUACGAGAAAUCAAAGUGCUUGGGCUCCAGGGGGAGUAUGGUCGCAAGGCUGAAACUUAAAGAAAUUGACGGAAGGGCACCACCAGGGGUGGAGCCUGCGGCUUAAUUUGACUCAACACGGGA